rnacentral:rRNA from 1 species
CACUCCUACGGGAGGCAGCAGUGGGGAAUAUUGGACAAUGGGCGCAAGCCUGAUCCAGCCAUGCCGCGUGAGUGAUGAAGGCCCUAGGGUUGUAAAGCUCUUUCACCGGUGAAGAUAAUGACGGUAACCGGAGAAGAAGCCCCGGCUAACUUCGUGCCAGCAGCCGCGGUAAUACGAAGGGGGCUAGCGUUGUUCGGAUUUACUGGGCGUAAAGCGCACGUAGGCGGACUAUUAAGUCAGGUGUGAAAUCCCGGGGCUCAACCCCGGAACUGCCUUUGAUACUGGUAGUCUUGAGUUCGAGAGAGGUGAGUGGAAUUCCGAGUGUAGAGGUGAAAUUCGUAGAUAUUCGGAGGAACACCAGUGGCGAAGGCGGCUCACUGGCUCGAUACUGACGCUGAGGUGCGAAAGCGUGGGGAGCAAACAGGAUUAGAAACCCCAGUAGUCCCAUG